rnacentral:rRNA from 1 species
GAGGCUCAAGUUGAAACCACACGGUGUAAAAAGUGGAUAAAACACAACUCAUUAAAGCUAAACAUCUUCUAUGCUGUUAUACGCUCAUGAAGACAGGAAGCCCCUUUUACAAAAGUAGCUUUAAAAUAAAAUUACCACUAAAGCUAAAAUACAAACUGGGAUUAGAUACCCCACUAUGCUUAGCCUUAAACAUAAAUAUUUUGUAACUUUAUUAUUUACCUGGGAACUACGAGCCCUAGCUUAAAACCCAAAGGACUUGGCGGUGCUUAAGACCCCCCUAGAGGAGCCUGUUCUAUAAUCGAUAACCCCCGUUAAACCCUACCCUUAAUUGCUAAGCCUGCCUAUAUACCGCCGUCGUCAGCUUACCCUAUGAAGGCUAUUACAGUAAACAUAAUUGGUAAAACCCAAAACGUCAGGUCAAGGUGUAGCGCAUGUAAGGGAAAGAAAUGGGCUACAUUUACUGACACAGUAAACACGAACGAUACUUUGAAAUAAGUAACUGAAGGAGGAUUUAGCAGUAAGGAAAAAAUAGAGUGUUUUCCUGAAACUGGCCCUUAAGCGCGCACACACCGCCCGUCACUCUCCCCAACAU